UCGCGGCCCCAGGUCAGGCGUGAGCACCCGCUGAGUUUAAGCAUAUCAAUAAGCGGAGGA
rnacentral:rRNA from 1 species